UACGUAGGGUGCGAGCGUUGUCCGGAGUUACUGGGCGUAAAGCGUGCGCAGGCGGUUCGUUGUGUCGGCGGUGAAAGCCCCGGGCUUAACCUGGGAAUGGCCGUUGAAACUGGCGAACUGGAGUGUGGCAGAGGGGGGUGGAAUUCCGCGUGUAGCAGUGAAAUGCGUAGAGAUGCGGAGGAACACCGAUGGCGAAGGCAGCCCCCUGGGCUAACACUGACGCUCAGGCACGAAAGCCAGGGGAGCAAACGGG
rnacentral:rRNA from 1 species